ACUAGAUCGGCGCUCUACCAACUGAGCUACACGGUCAGACGGAUUUAAGACUGGAAAUUAUGAAAUAUAUAAUGAAUGUCAUAAACAUAUAUUUCAUAAUUUCCAAAUUGACCGUGUAGCUCAGUUGGUAGAGCGCCGAUCUAGU